rnacentral:ncRNA from 1 species
UGUUUAUCUCAGGGCAGGGUGAAAGUCCCUACCGGCGGUAAAGUGUAAUCAUUUUCUGAUGAUUUCAUGAAGCCCGCGAGCGCUCUGUUUGUCGUUACUCUGCUUUUUUAAUAGGGUAUAACAGAGGUCAGCAGAUCCAGUGUGAUUCUGGAGCCGACGGUGAUAGUCCGGAUGGGAGAGAAUAACA